rnacentral:rRNA from 1 species
GACGAACGCUGGCGGCGUGCUUAACACAUGCAAGUCGAACGGAAAGGCCCUGCUUGCAGGGUACUCGAGUGGCGAACGGGUGAGUAACACGUGGGUGAUCUGCCCUGCACUUCGGGAUAAGCCUUGGUAACUGGGUCUAAUACCGGGGAGGAGCCAUUUUUAGUGUGAUGGUUGGAAAGUUUUUUUCGGUGUUGGAUGAGCUCGCGGCCUAUCAGCUUGUUGGUGGGGUAAUGGUCUACCAAGGCGGCGACGGGGAGCCGGCCUGAGAGGGGGGACGGCCACAGUGGGAUUGGGACACGGCCCAGGCUCCGACUGGAGGGAGCAGUGGGGAAGAGUGCUCAAUCGGCGCAAGCCUGAGGCAGCGACGCCGCGGGGGGGAUAACGGCCUUCGGGUUGGGAACGCCUUUCGCUAGGGACGAAGCUGUUUGUGACGGUACCUAGAUAAGAAGCACCGGCUAACUACGUG